CGGAGGUAGGGUCCAGCGGCUGGA
rnacentral:ncRNA from 2 species